CUCUGUGACUCCGUACGGGAGGCAGCAGGUGGGGAAUAGUUGCACAAUGGGCGCAAGCCUGAUGCAGCCAUGCCGCGUGUGUGAAGAAGGCCUUCGGGUUGUAAAGCACUUUCAGUUGUGAGGAAGGUGGUGUCGUUAAUAGCGGCAUCAUUUGACGUUAGCAACAGAAGAAGCACCGGCUAACUCCGUGCCAGCAGCCGCGGUAAUACGGAGGGUGCGAGCGUUAAUCGGAAUUACUGGGCGUAAAGCGCAUGCAGGUGGUUUGUUAAGUCAGAUGUGAAAGCCCCGGGGCUCAACCUCGGAACUGCAUUUGAAACUGGCAGACUAGAGUACUGUAGAGGGGGUAGAAUUUCAGGUGUAGCGGUGAAAUGCGUAGAGAUCUGAAGGAAUACCGGUGGCGAAGGCGGCCCCCUGGACAGAUACUGACACUCAGAUGCGAAAGCGUGGGGAGCAAACAGGAUUAGAUACCCUGGUAG
rnacentral:rRNA from 1 species